rnacentral:misc_RNA from 1 species
CCAAACUCGCCAAGUUGACCACGCAGCGAGUUGAUCAACGCCGUCCGCUGCCGGACCAGCAGCUCACGCGUCCGGUGCAGCAUCAAGCCGGAUUGCUGCUCUGCGCUCUUGAUGUCGACAAAUCGCAUCGUCGGCCGAGUGACCGCUUCACAGAUCGCCUCCGCGUCAACUGCGUCGUUCUUGCCCCGCUUGAUGUAGGGCU